rnacentral:rRNA from 1 species
UACAGAGGUGGCUAGCGUUGUUCGGAUUCACUGGGUGUAAAGGGUCUGUAGGCGGUUAGGUAAGUCGGAUGUGAAAUCCCAUGGCUUAACCAUGGAACUGCAUUCGAAACUGCUUAGCUAGAGGGCGAGAGAGGAAGAUGGAAUUCCCGGUGUAAGAGUGAAAUCUGCAGAUAUCGGGAGGAACACCAGUUGCGAAGGCGAUCUUCUGGCUCGCUUCUGACGCUGAGGGACGAAAGCUAGGGGAGCAAACGGG